UUCACCCAUAACGUAUGUAAAAUAUCUAAAUUCUAGCAAUUGCUUCUAGUAUUUAUAUGCUACAACAUGUUCUUUCACAAAGUGGAAGUUUAAAUCAUACAUUUUUGUGCUAUUAGAAGAAAAGGAAAUAUGAAUAAAAUGAUUGCUUGUGAUCGGAUGAUGAAAUUGGAGCAGGCUUAUAUUAUUUUCUUUAUAUUGUGUACGUCAUUAGCAAAUUCAUGCAAGACAUACCCUCCCGUAGUAGAGCAUAACUGUUAUUGUGCGUGCAUUGACUUCUCUAUCAAUGCAAGAGAUGCUGCAGCUACACCGGAGGUUGGAGAACUGUGUAGAGAAGGAUCAUUUCUAGACUUCAAUUGUGACCUUAAGGAUGCAUAUGAUGAGGCUGUUGAUAAAACACCUUUCCUAGACUUAGAACCUGCAGAAUGUCCUCAGUAUUAUAUUUAGACUAUAUUCACAUGCUUUAAUAUAAUUUUACAUCUUUAUUUAUUUUUCAAAUAAAAAUAACUUUAUAAUGUCA